AUGGGGAUGCAGGCUCUGAUGGAUGUUCGAUGCAAGAACCUAGUGAACCCUGUAUGCGACUGGCUCGGUGAGAUAUAUCAGCCUGCCUCUAGGGGAUUUGUGAUUCCAGGACGUGGAAGACCGCCUUUGGAUGAGGAAUCUGUUUUCUGCACUUUAGGUGUGCCCCGUGGAGAAAUCAAAGUCCCGUAUGAGGUGAAUAACAAGAUUGAGGAAGCCCUGUUCGCCCGUUUGUUUCCUGGAAUGGCAUCCAUGCCUAAUACGACCGCGCUGGCAACUUCACUGGAGGGCAUGAAAACGCAUGGCGAGGUAUUUAAGAUGAAGCUUCUCAUGUACUUGAUCUCAGCUGUCUUUGCGCCUACCACAUCUCUUCGCCCAAGCAACAAGUGCUUCCCUAUCCUGGCGAAGCUGAAAGACGUUAAGAACAUGAAUUGGUGUAAAUUCAUCACAGACUUCCUGCAUGAUGCAUUCUCAAACAAGAUGUACCAGAAGGGCUGUCGCUUGCACCUAAUGCUCAUGUACGUCGAUCGUCCCUAUCUGUCCACUGUCGACUUUACUGGGAUAGGAGGCCCGCCGCCUCCACAUAAGUUUGUUGUCUCUGCGUGGACGUACGAUGCUGUCAAGGUUGUGCUUGCCGUAGACAGGAUAACUGAUACGAAAUAUGGGAAACUGCAGAUGAUGGCCAAGCAUGCUAUAGACUACAGUGUAUUUGGUGGGCCACAAAACUUUGGCAAGUGGAUGGAUGUGCAUUCAGCUCCAUCUUGUCCCGCUGAGGCAAGGGCACCUGUUGAGCAUCUAGUUGGGCAGUUUGCAUCCGGCAUGACCGGCUUGCUCGGGAAGUUGGUUGAGGGUUGGACAGCACUUAAUGGCUCUGACAGCGACUCGGUUGCGAGGCAGUUCACAUCAUUCGUUGGAGAACGAACACAUCGACCAACUGGUUGCCAUGGCCGGUAUGACUACAACAGCUCUCAGGAGCUCCCUGGCACGCAAGAUGAGCUAGAUGGAGAUGCUAGUCUCGACAAGGACGAUGACAAUGACAUGGAGAAUGUGCAACAUGAAACCGACGACGAUGAACAUGUUGAAGUUCGUGUAGGUGGUAAGAAGGAUAAGGCUGCACCAAAUGUUCCUCCACCGGAGGAA
rnacentral:rRNA from 1 species